rnacentral:rRNA from 1 species
GACGGAGGGUGCUAGCGUUGUUCGGAAUCACUGGGCGUAAGGGGCGCGUAGGCGGCCUCAGGUGUCGGAUGUGAAAGCCCGGGGCUCAACCCCGGAGGUGCAUCCGAAACUCUGGGGCUGGAGGUCGGAAGAGGAGGGUGGAAUACCCAGUGUAGAGGUGAAAUUCGUAGAUAUUGGGUGGAACACCGGUGGCGAAAGCGGCUCUCUGGUCCGGACCUGACGCUGAGGCGCGAAAGCGUGGGGAGCAAACAGG